rnacentral:rRNA from 1 species
UACGGAGGGUGCAAGCGUUAUCCGGAUUUACUGGGUUUAAAGGGUGCGUAGGUGGGUCUGUAAGUCAGUGGUGAAAUCUCCGGGCUUAACCCGGAAAUUGCCAUUGAUACUAUAGGUCUUGAAUCAUCUGGAGGUAAGCGGAAUAUGUCAUGUAGCGGUGAAAUGCUUAGAUAUGACAUAGAACACCAAUUGCGAAGGCAGCUUACUACGGAUGUAUUGACACUGAGGCACGAAAGCGUGGGGAUCAAACAGGA